CUCUGCUUUAAGUAGUUGCUUUUCCUAGUCCACACUUUCCUAAGAGAAUAGUAAAAGCCAAGAUUUCUCUUUUCUUCCCAUUUCCUCUUUGCCCUCCUACCAGCCUUUCUACCAUCAGCCAGGGCAGUUCUUGAAGGCCUGGCGGAGGCCCACCAGAGUUCAGGGGUAGAGACACGGCCUGCCUUCAGGAGCUGAGGCAACCAGCUGGCCCUCAUGAGAUCAGAGAAGAACUGAUGGAGUGCUGUUCUGCGCAGGGUGAUGCUGAAUGAGCAAAGCAUUCUAGGGAGCAUGCUAGAAUGGUCAGAGAAGACGUCUGGGAGAGAAACAAGAAGGGAUCCACUUAUAACUUCUCACCAGAAGGAGGUCAGCUGUGACCUGAAUCCCGGUUUUGUAGCACUGGCCUGGGAGGCAUGACAGAGGUUGUUGCUUCACGUGGAAGCUAGAGAGCAGAUUCAUCAGGCAUCAGGUGGCUGGCCAGUGACCCCACAGAAGGAAGGAAGUUAUCCGUCUAGUGUCUUCGCUCUGUUACUGUGGUGUUGGCCUAGAGAGAUAACAGCUUGAUAGGACCAGGUUGAAUUUCACCCAUGCCUCAGCUCAGCUUCCACCACACAGCCCCAAAGACCAAAGCCUGAAAGGCAGGUGGAAAGUGAUCCACGAGGGUGGAAGUUUGGAGGUGGAGGAAGGGACAGCAGUAGAGAAGGACGAGCUUGAGAAAAGCAAAAGCUGAAGAAGAAAGGAACUAACAUGUGUUUAUCGGGCAAAGGCUGCACAUGAGGUGUUGCCAGGCACCGUGGGGAUCUCAGCAUAUGAAACGAGGUUCCAGGCCCCACGUGUUCCUAUUCUGCUGCACAUUUUCUUCUCUGGGUCUCAGUUUUCACACCUGUAAAAUGGGAGGCUCUGUGAUCGCUAAGAUUAACUCCAAACCUGAAGUUAUCCCUUUGAGAAGUUUAUUAUCCAGCUGACAAAAGAAGCUGAAAGUUAAGUAGCCAAAAGCAUGAAUUUUGAGCUAUUUAAUUCCAGAAGAGCAGGAAGUGUUUGUCAUAUUCAUCUAACAAAGCCCUGAAAUCCAUGGGGGAAGAGAAGACAAGCAGAUCUUGUCUUGCAAGAUUCAAGGACAGUAUGUGAAGCCCAUGAAUAGUCAAGCAUUCCCCAAUUUCUUUAGAGUUCAAGGUCAGACUUCACAGGUCAGUGUCAUGAGUGAUUCAUCCACAGAUGGCCUUGUCCAUGCUGAGGACUUAGGCAAAGAUACACCCCCACGUAUCUGCAAGAGACAGGUUUCAUUGUUUGUCAGGCUACAUUCUAGAAAAACUGUGCCACUUUCAUCCUGAGUGGGGCAGCCAGUCGUAUUGGACCAAGUGUACACAUCUGAUCCAAAGGGCUCUAGGCCAUUUGUUGGGCCUGAACUUAAGUGGCCCUGGCUCCCGCAGAUGAACUGAACCAAUCAGAUUCCCUUUUGCCAAAAUCUGCAGGAAGAGGCUGAGAGACCUCUGCUUGUUGGUGACUCUGCUGUCCUCCAUCAGGUUAGGGGGAGGAGGGGCUUGUGGCCUUGGUGGAACAGGUGCCAGAAGAGUAGGCAGGGGAGAUGGGAGUGAGGGUGAAGGGGAGAAAAGAGAGGGAGAGAGCUGUGGAGAGUAGCCUCAGUUCCUAAUUUUCCGAUUCUCUGUCACAGACUGCUCUACUAUACCACUCUUGGAUUCCUAAUAUUUUGUAUCCUUUUAUUUUAUUUAUUUAUUUGUUUAUUUAUUUAUUUUCCGCUGUAAUUUUGUGUCCUUAUAGUAAUUUCGUUUAAUUUGUGCUAGGUUGAGAGAGUUUCUCAUUGUUGAAAUCCAAAGGCCCACAUCCAGGGUGGCAGGGGACGGUGGAGCGGGGGAGUAGACUGGGGGUUUGGGAUGGAGAUGUUCUAAAAUUAGGUUGUGAUGAUGGUUGUAAAUAUGAUACAACUUAUUGAAUUCUUCUUUUAAAAAGGCCCAUAUCUAAAACAGUCUGAAAGAGAAGCAGUGCAGAGAAAGGAGUUAUGGCCAUUAUGAUCCCUGCAGUUGGGAAUUUCUCCUCCUCAACAGGCUUUUCCCUUUUCUCUCCCAGAUGUCUCCCUCUUCAAGGCCAUAAUCUCUUCUCCUAAAUUGCACUCUGAAAUGUCUGCAAAAUAACUUGGCCUUCAGCUUUCUACAUGCUCAAAAUCUCCUUUUCUAAGAAAAGUAGCUACUAUAUUAAUUGAGCAAUUACUAUUUGCCAGGCAACAAGUGAAACACUAGAAAGUGCUUCAGUGUUUUGACAUUGUAGCUUUUACUGUGUAAGGGACUGAGGCUGGGAGGCGUGACGGAACUUGCCCAGGGACACACAGCUUUGAGUUUAACCACACCCCUUCAUCUCCAGACAGCAUCCACCUUCUCUAACUCCCCAGCCAGCAUCUCUCCUCUAGCUGCCAGGAAUAUCCUUCUUCCUCACUGGUGCAUUUAUAAUGAGGUGGUUUUUUCUUUUAAAUUGAGACUUCGGCGAUAGGUGUGCAUUUUUUGGUAUAUAUCCGAUGCCUCAAAUGAUUCUAUGCUGUAGAAGAAUGAUCAUUGUUCAUAUACCUCAUCAGUCAAAAAAAAAAAAAUGUUUUGAUCAGCAUCUGUAAUGUGUUGGUCAUUUACUUCAGUUAUCUAUUUUUAUCUAUUAUAUUUACCAAAAUAGACAUUUUUUCCUCCAUUUUUAUUGAGAUAUAGUUGACAUAAACAUUUUAAAUGAUGAUCUAAAGAUGAAAUAAACAUUUAAAAUUUUUUAUGAGUUAGUGGUUCAAAAGUCCUUUUGCUCUUAGGGAAACAUUUUUUGCGUAAAUUUAACAUAAAAGGGACUAUCAGUAAAUAUCACAAUAUUUUCUUCUGACAACCCAGUGGCUUGUUUGGGGACACACACACCUGGGACCCACAUACAUACCCUGGAUUUGGAAUGUUUGUCAUGUUCCCCAAAUUGUUAAUAAUAUAGUGACUUGAGAAAAUAAUGAGAUGCAGUCAGCUAAAUCUGAGUGAGGGUUCAUUCCUGUUCUUAUUUAUUGAUAACCCUAAUUGUUUUUAUUCUUAUGUUUUAAACCAGUGGUUUAUUAUGUAUAAUUAUAAUACUUGCGAUAGCAUAACUUAUUCAUCCAGCUUUUUAAUAAAUUAAAAAAUUAAGGAGUUCCCAUUGUGGCUCAGUGGAAAUGAAUCUGACUAGCAUCGACGAGGAUGCAGUUCUGAUCCCUGGUCUUGCUCAGUGGGUUAAGGAUCUGGCUUUGCCGUGAGCUGUGGUGUAGGUCACAGAUGCACUUGAAUCUGGCAUUGCUAUGCCUGUGGUGCAAGUUGGCAGUUACAGCUCUGAUUCAACCCCUAGCCUGGGAACUUCCAUAUGCUGCAGGUGCGGCCCUAAAAAAACAAAAAACAAACAAAUAAAAAAAGCUGAAAAACACACUUUUCUGUGUUAUUAAAAAGUCUUUAGAGACGCCAUUUGAAAAGUCACUUAAAUAAUCUCUUUUUUUUUUUUUUGACCCUAGUGUUUAUUAAGUACAUAUAAGCAUUUGCUCUAAGUUAGGGAUCAUGAAUGAUAAGUACAUGCAAAAAUAUGCAUUCAUCUAGCUUGCCAGACUGCACUGUUGAGGUCAAAAGAAAAGACAGAUGCAUUUUAAACAGAAAUGACAGUGUAAGACUAAAAUCCAAGGAGUUCGAUUGUGUCACAGCAGAAAUGAAUACAACUAGUAUCCAUGAGGAUAUGGGUUCAAUCCCUGGCCUCGCUCAGUAGGUCGGGGAUCUGGCGUUGCCAUGAGCUGUGGUCUGUGGUAUAGGUCACAGACAUGGCUCAGAUCCCACAUUGCUAUGGCUAUUUCUUUUUUUUUUUUUCUUUUUUUUUGUCUUUUGUCUUUUGUUGUUGUUGUUGUUGUUGCUAUUUCUUGGGCCGCUCCCGCGGCAUAUGGAGGUUCCCAGGCUAGGGGUUGAAUCGGAGCUGUAGCCACCAGCCUACGCCAGAGCCACAGCAACGUGGGAUCCGAGCCGCGUCUGCAACCUACACCACAGCUCACGGCAACGCCGGAUCGUUAACCCACUGAGCAAGGGCAGGGACCGAACCCGCAACCUCAUGGUUCCUAGUCGGGUUCGUUAACCACUGCGCCACGACGGGAACUCCCUGAGGUUAGAUUUCUAAUAAUCCUCAUCAGCACCUUCACAGGGCCUCUGACGGUUCAGAGGAAACUGGGGAAUAAGGAAGAGCAGACCUCUGGCUGCUCUAGAGGCUGACAUCCUGUCCUUCUCUCAGCCAACAUGCAGACACAAAUACACGCAUCCCACUUAUUUUUCAGUUUGACAACAUUGAUUAUUAAAUUUGUUUAUGCUCUUUCCAGAAAAGACUCGAGACAGCUUUUUAAAUUCUAAAAUGUACCUUGUAUGUGAACAUAGGAAUUUACACAAAAGAUGCUUUAUGAGAUGAUUAUCCCUUUUACAAAAGGAGUAACCACAAUUUCUUGAAAUAGCAGCUCAUCUGGUACAUGCAAUAUCAGAUCUGACUGACAAAAUUUUGCUUUGCCUGCAACUUUUCCAGAAUGCAUUGAUGGUAUUCAUGUGCAUCGCAGCAUUGACUGGUUUUGAUCAAGUUUGGUACUUGAAUAAAUGGUAUGAGAAACUCUUAAGGAGUUCCCACUAUGGCUCAGUAGGCUAAGAAUCCCACUAGUAUCCUGGAUGAUAUGGGUUCAAUCCCUGGCAUCACUCAGUGGGUUAAGGAUCUGGCGUUGCCCCAAGCUGUGGCAUAGGUCACAGAUGUGGCUCAAGUCUGGUGUUGCUGUGCCUGUGGCAUAGGCCUGCAGCUGCAAGU
rnacentral:lncRNA from 1 species